AAUCGAACGUACGUUGAGUACAAGGAAUCAAUCAAAUCAAAUCAAAUCAAAAAAUGACACAGAGACGAUCUAUUAUUUUCUUUCUAUUUUUUUCUCAUCUUCCUUU
rnacentral:ribozyme from 14 species